AUAUGCAUGCUCGAGCGCAUGAUAAACAACGUGUUGGACGAGUUAUUGUUUUAAAGAAGUUUUGUUUAACUUUCAAGCUUGUUGUCUGCCAUACCGGAAAUUUUGGAGCCUGUGUCUCUGUCUCUGAGACUGAGAGUAAAACUGUUGUAGCGUGAGGACUAAAGUCGUUAAUUAUAUUAGGCCUAAUUAGGGUCUUUUGACAUCUUGAUCUUGCCUACUGCCUACGCCGUAGCCGUCGUCACGGCCUUCGCUGUAUUCGUACGUGUGUUAACUGUUCAUUGUUUACAUGUACAUCAGUUCAGUUGAAAUUGAAGACUUCUUCAAAGCCAAGUUUCAGUUUUUGUCAACUCAAGGAGCAUUUGCAGCCUCAUUUGUGUGUAAUUUCAGAGUCUCAUCUUGAGGCAAUUCAGCGAAGGCUUGCGCUGAAGGUGUUUAUAUUGUUAUUUCUGUGUACAGUUAUUUCAGAGGGCAGAAGGCCAUUUCUUGGAGGUAGUUAAAUUGUUAUUACAGCUCCAUAUCACUCAUCUCAUACCAUUUCACCUUCACCCUCAGAUCCUUUAGACGUAAAGGUGCGAGAAGUAAGAAACUCAUUUAGAACCUCAUCCUAAACUUCAUAUUCAUAACAUUUCAUUCAUACCAUACCAUUUCAUUUUCACCCUCUCACCUUUAGACGUAAAGGUGAGAGACAAAACGAACUCAUUUAGAACCUCAGAAACUUCAUUUUAAACUUUCAUCGAAAUUUCAUCUGGAAGUCUGUCUACCAAUUCACGACAAUAACCCUUGCAUUUAGAGGCUUGGGUGAGUCACAAGGAAUUGGGGAUAGCAACGAACAAACAGAACUUUUAAACACAUAAUUCUUUUAAACACAUAAUUCUUUUAAAC
rnacentral:lncRNA from 1 species